UACGUAGGGGGGCUAGCGUUGUCCGGAUUUAUUGGGCGUAAAGAGCGUGUAGGCGGCCAGGUAGGUCUGCUGUGAAAACUCGAGGCUCAACCUCGAGACGUCGGCGGAAAACCAUCUGGCUAGAGCCGGAAGAGGAGAGUGGAAUUCCUUGGUGUAGCGGUGAAAUGCGCAGAUAUCAGGAAGAACACCCUGGCGAAGGCG
rnacentral:rRNA from 1 species